CCUGAUGCAGCGACGCCGCGUGAGGGAUGACGGCCUUCGGGUUGUAAACCUCUUUCAGCAGGGAAGAAGCGAGAGUGACGGUACCUGCAGAAGAAGCGCCGGCUAACUACGUGCCAGCAGCCGCGGUAAUACGUAGGGCGCAAGCGUUGUCCGGAAUUAUUGGGCGUAAAGAGCUCGUAGGCGGCUUGUCGCGUCGGAUGUGAAAGCCCGGGGCUUAACCCCGGGUCUGCAUUCGAUACGGGCAGGCUAGAGUUCGGUAGGGGAGAUCGGAAUUCCUGGUGUAGCGGUGAAAUGCGCAGAUAUCAGGAGGAACACCGGUGGCGAAGGCGGAUCUCUGGGCCGAUACUGACGCUGAGGAGCGAAAGCGUGGGGAGCGAACAGGAUUAGAUACCCUGGUAGUCCACGCCGUAAACGUUGGGAACUAGGUGUGGGCGACAUUCCACGUCGUCCGUGCCGCAGCUAACGCAUUAAGUUCCCCGCCUGGGGAGUACGGCCGCAAGGCUAAAACUCAAAGGAAUUGACGGGGGCCCGCACAAGCAGCGGAGCAUGUGGCUUAAUUCGACGCAACGCGAAGAACCUUACCAAGGCUUGACAUACACCGGAAACGUCUGGAGACAGGCGCCCCCUUGU
rnacentral:rRNA from 1 species